GGCUCUUGAAUGUUUUCCUCAUUUGUUUGGACAAAUCAAUAUAAUAACGAUUUUUUUCCACACCUUAAUUGGGUAAUCCAAGAGUUACAUCGGAUCUUACAUGUGAUGUUUGCUUGUUGUCAAGGAUGAUACCUGCUUACUCACACGUUGUCUUCUAAUUGUGGAUUGAAGUCCUCAAUCUUUUUCAUGUCAGUAGCCUGCCAUUGGUGGUCAAUCUUAAUUAGAAGUUUGAACUGAAAUAUCUUGUUUUAGUUCACGAUUUUGUAUGGGAAAUGAGCUUUUUAUAUGGUCAAGAAAAACAAAUAUUUUGCCAAGUAGACUUAUAUAGCGCAGUUAACUUGAGUUAAAGUCCAAAUCCUGCAUCUUUGCCUAUGAUGGUUGUCGCUUUCCUUUUGACAUGAGCAGGUAAGAUCAUGUUGGAAAUAUGCUCUAGAGGCAAUGAUAAAAUGGUUAUUAUUA